rnacentral:rRNA from 1 species
AUUGAACGCUGGCGGCAGGCUUAACACAUGCAAGUCGAGCGAGCGGCGGACGGGUGAGUAAUGUCGGGGAAACUGCCUGAUGGAGGGGGAUAACUACUGGAAACGGUAGCUAAUACCGCAUACCAUCAGAUGUGCCCAGAUGGGAUUAGCUAGUAGGUGGGGUAAUGGCUCACCUAGGCGACGAUCCCUAGCUGGUCUGAGAGGAUGACCAGCCACACUGGAACUGAGACACGGUCCAGACUCCUACGGGAGGCAGCAGUGGGGAAUAUUGCACAAGGGGCGCAAGCCUGAUGCAGCCAUGCCGCGUGUGUGAAGAAGGCCCUAGGGUUGUAAAGUACUUUCAGCCAGGAGGCGUUACCCGCAGAAGAAGCACCGGCUAACUCCGUGCCAGCAGCCGCGGUAAUAC